GUCUUUUUGAAAAUAAUUUAAAGUCAAAUCUGCCCACUGAAUUAAUUUUAAAGGGCUGCAGUAUAUUGACUGUACAAAGGUAGCAUAAUCAUUAGUCUUUUAAUUGAAGACUUGUAUGAAUGAUUUGAUGAGAUAUAAACUGUCUCUUUAUUAGGAAUAAAAUUUAAUUUUUUAGUUAAAAAGCUAAAAUUUGUAUAAAAGACGAGAAGACCCUAUAGAGUUUAAUAUUUUUAGGGAAUUAAAUUUUAUAUAAAUUUUUAAAUUUAAUUUUUUAGAAGUAUUUUGUUGGGGUGAUAGAAAAAUUUAAUAAACUUUUUUUAAAAAUUAUACAUUAAUUUAUGAAUUUUUGAUCCAUAAUUUAUGAUUAUAAGAAUAAAUUACCUUAGGGAUAACAGCGUAAUUUUUUUUUUUAGUUCAAAUAAAAAUUAAAGUUUGCGACCUCGAUGUUGGAUUAAGAUAAAAUUUAAAUGUAAAAGUUUAAAAUUUUGAUCUGUUCGAUCAUUAAAACUAC
rnacentral:rRNA from 1 species